rnacentral:tRNA from 1 species
GCCCGCGUGGCGGAACCGGUAGACGCAAGGGACUUAAAAUCCCUCAUCCUCACGGAUAUGCCGGUUCGAUUCCGGCCGCGGGCACCA